UACGAAGGGUGCAAGCGUUAAUCGGAGUUACUGGGCGUAAAGGGCGCGCAGGCGGCGGUGUUGGCCCGGCGUGAAAGCCCCCGGCUCAACCGGGGAGGGUCGUCGGGGACCGCACCGCUUGAGGGCGGUAGGGGCUGGUGGAAUGCCUGGUGUAGUGGUGAAAUGCGUAGAGAUCAGGCGGAACACCCGUGGCGAAGGCGGCCAGCUGGGCCGACCCUGACGCUGAGGCGCGAAGGCGUGGGGAGCGAACGGG
rnacentral:rRNA from 1 species